UCACGGGUAAGGUGGCCGAGUGUUAAUGGCGGUAGGCUGUAAACCUAUUUACGAGGGUUUGAUUCCCUUCUUUAUCA
rnacentral:tRNA from 1 species